AUUUCACUUCAGCCGCCCCACGCCCUCACCCUCAUUCUUUUCUUUUCUUCUCUACACAGACGCUUAGAUCCAAUUGCCUCAUCCUUGCCGCCGAUCCAAAUAAAAAAAAAAUCUUGAUCUGAUCUGAUCUGUUCUGUUCUGCUCCGUUUCUCUGUUACUUGAUUCUCUGUUACUAUAAACUGAUUCUUUUAUUACUCACACAAAUCGAUCAUCAACGACCGUGAAACCGGUAAAUCUCUGUGAGAAAAUCGUAGAAUCAUAGACGAAGAAGAAAAUGGAAUCUGAAUGCAGUAGUAGAUCUACUGCGUCUGCGUUCUUCAUCAAAUCGUUCCGUCUGCGAUUCCUCGUCGUCCUCACUCUUCUACUGUGGCUAAUAAUUGAAAGAAUCCAAGCUGAGCCUGUGGAGGGUAAGAGAAAGUUCAUCUAUCUUGGGGAUGGUAAACUUUUUCCCCUAGAUUUGAGCUUGUGUCGUACAAUAAUGUGAACAUCAAUUAUAACAUUCAGUUUGUGAAAUCAGUUCUGGAUUUAGUGUUUGUAAUUGUACCUUCUUUCUUAUUAGUUACUUUCCCUUUAAUCUUGCUUGUCUCACAGGAGCACAGGUGUGGAAGAGAAGCUUUCAGAUAAAUACAAAGACAAAAUAGUUGAUUAGAAAAGAUUGGCGAAUGAGGCUGAAGGUUUCAUCGGCACUUUUCUUCAAUUACAACACCUCGAUGGGACUGCCAUUUCGGGUUUUGGUAGAUACCAACUUCAUCAAUUUCUCUAUCUAGAAUAAACUGGACUUGGAGAAGGGAAUGAUGGACUGCCUAUAUGCAAAAUGUGAGUUUAGAAUCACCGGUUUCUUCAAUUUAAUGUGAAUAUUAAUUUGUUGCAAGAAUUGUUGUGCCGUGUUGAUGAGGUAUCAUAAGUUCAACAUAGUUGUUAAUGUGGUUUUAUAACAAGCAUUGAGUGCCAUGUAUCAUUGGCAAACACUUAAAUAUGUGUUGGUUGCUUAAUGAUAUUUAUCAAAAUAUUACUCUUGGUUGUGUGGAUGUCCAUGAGAAUGCUUAAGGAAUAAAAUGAGGAUCUUUUUUUAAA